AGCUCCAGAAGCGUAUAUUAAAGUUGUUGCGGUUAAAACGCUCGUAGUUGAAUAUAUGCCUAGUACAGGUGGUCUACCCUCGAUUGGUAGCACGCGCUUCGUGCUUGGCACACUUCUGAAAUCUUUUUCCCCACUUCAUUGUGCGGGACUUAAUUCAGAUACAUUACUUUGAGGAAAUGAGGGUGCUCUAUGCAGAUAUAUGUCAUGGAUACGUUAGCAUGGAAUAGCAUUACAGAAUAUUAUUCUGAAGCUGCUGGUUUUUUGGAAUAGUAUAAUGGCAAGAGGAACAGUUGGGGGCAUUUAUAUUUAACUGUUAGAGGUGAAAUUCUUGAAUCUUUUAAAGAUGAACUACUGCGAAAGCAUCUGCCCAGGAUGUUUUUAUUAAUCAAGAACGAAAGUA
rnacentral:rRNA from 1 species